UACGUAGGGGGCAAGCGUUGUCCGGAUUUACUGGGCGUAAAGCGCGCGUAGGCGGAGAGGUCAGCGUGGCCUGAAAGCCCCCGGCUCAACCGGGGAGGGCGGCUGCGAACUGCCUUUCUUGAGGGCGAGAGAGGAGCGUGGAAUUCCUGGUGUAGCGGUGAAAUGCGUAGAGAUCAGGAGGAACACCCGUGGCGAAGGCGGCGCUCUGGCUCGCCCCUGACGCUGAGGCGCGAAAGCGUGGGGAGCGAACGGGAUUAGAAACCCGAGUAGUCC
rnacentral:rRNA from 1 species